rnacentral:tRNA from 23 species
CUCUGAGCUAAGCAGGC